CAUGAUUCUGCAUCGGAAGAAGAUCUAGAAAUUGCCAGAAUUUUAGACGAAAGACAUUCUAAAAACACGACCAAAAGUACUAAAACGGCAUUGACGGCGUUAAUCCGAAAAUAAACAUCGUAUUCACGAAGCCGAAGGUAUGUGUAAUGUGUUAAGUUUUUAAUUCUCAACUUGGAGGCUUUUAAUUUUCGGUAUAAUAUAUCAUUUAUAGACCUUCCGCUCGGGGGAUUCGGCGAAAUAUUACCCUCAGUGACGAUAUUUCCCUCGGGGCAAAGCCCCUCAGGAAAUAUCAUCACUUCGGGUAAUAUUUUGCCGAAUCCCCCUCGCUCCAGGUCUAUAAAUGAUAAUUAUAUUUUCAACGGGGUCUUGAAAGCAGACCAUGCCGUGUAACCUCGUAUAAGAGGUGCACGUGUAUAACGGUGCGCUGUAUUGUGUCUUUAUAUGUCAAUCCAUUGUAGAAAUAUAUCGUAAUUGAAGCUAGCAUUUACUGUAUGUAAAGUUGUUACUUAUUGUUACUAAUUGCAUGGCCAUGGGACUAUAAAUAUGAGCAGUCUGCUCAGUAGGACAUCACGUGAAGCACUACACUGGCAAAACACCGCGUUGGUUUUACAUUUAGAAAUAUAUAUUAUCAAGUCUAUUAUUAUAAAUUGCAGUUUUCGUUUCUUGUUUCGUUCCACUUUAAAUUGUUUUUAUUUACUAGACCGUCGAAUCCCUAGUCCAACCGACAUGUGCUGUCGGACACUGGCAAAACACGUUGGUUUUACAUCUAUCAAUAUAUAUUUUCAAGUCUAUUAUAAAUUGUAGUUUUCGUUUUUUGUUUCGUGCCACUUUGUUUUCCUUUAAUAGGCCGUCGAAUCCCUAGUCUAACAGACAUGUGCUUUCGGUGUGGUAAAAGAAGCCACAGGAGCUCAAGCUCCCAAAAAAUUUGCCUCGCCACGACCCGGUCAGUUUCAACCAGGAUAUUUUCCAAGAUCCACAGCCCCGAGCAGCUCAGUUGAGAGAGUAAACGUUAGCCGAUAAUCCAUUGCAAGAUGUUUAUGAAGACAUAACUCAGGUACAACUUUCCUCUAAUACCUGUGAAUAUAAGCAGCUAUCUAUAGCAAUACCCGGUUUCGUUUCUAAAAGUAAAAUGGA